UACGUAGGGGGCAAGCGUUGUCCGGAUUUAUUGGGCGUAAAGAGCGUGUAGGCGGCCAUACAGGUCCGUUGUGAAAACUGGAGGCUUAACCUCCAGACGUCGAUGGAAACCGUAUGGCUAGAGUCCGGAAGAGGAGAAUGGAAUUCCUGGUGUAGCGGUGAAAUGCGCAGAUAUCAGGAAGAACACCCGUGGCGAAGGCGGUUCUCUGGGACGGUACUGACGCUGAGACGCGAAAGCGUGGGGAGCGAACAGG
rnacentral:rRNA from 1 species